CUCAUUCCGUAGAAGAAGGGAUGUCUCACAAUCUCAAGGUUUUACAUCAAGAUCAAUACCUCUGUCAGACAUACAGCUGUACAGAGAUCUGGCCCAUGUUUCUGGUGGACAGACCAUCGAGGUCACAAAAGCUACUCUGUCUCAGGCCACUGCAGUCAUUACAGAUGCAUCUACCUCAGCCCUUGUGACGCUUUUUCAGGUGGUAAGAAAUCCAGCCAUUGCAGAAAACGUUACCUUUGUCUUAGAUCCAUCUCUGUCCAAUGUGACUGUGUAUGUCACUGGAGACUCUCCAGUCUUCACCAUCUACAGCCCGACAGGUGUGUCUCAGUCAGGUUCAGUGGCAGAUGGUCCUCUGGGCAGCAUCCUGACUGUAGGGAAUCUAAAGAGAGUGAAACUCACCUCUGACAACCAGACAGGAGAAUGGAAGAUCAGCAUCAACUCUACAAGCUUCUACAGCCUGAAAGUCACUGGUAUGGGUUUUUGCCGGUAUAUGUUUUGUUUGUAA
rnacentral:lncRNA from 1 species